rnacentral:rRNA from 1 species
UACGUAGGGGGCGAGCGUUGUCCGGAUUUAUUGGGCGUAAAGAGCGUGUAGGCGGCCAGGUAGGUCUGCUGUGAAAACUCGAGGCUCAACCUCGAGACGUCGGCGGAAACCAUCUGGCUAGAGUCCGGAAGAGGAGAGUGGAAGUUCCUGGUGUAGCGGUGAAAUGCGCAGAUAUCAGGAAGAACACCCGUGGCGAAGGCGGCUCUCUGGGACGGUACUGACGCUGAGACGCGAAGCGUGGGGAGCGAACAGG